rnacentral:rRNA from 1 species
CCUACGGGAGGCAGCAGUGGGGAAUAUUGGGCAAUGGGCGCAAGCCUGACCCAGCAACGCCGCGUGAAGGAAGAAGGCUUUCGGGUUGUUAACUUCUUUUCUCAGGGACGCAGCAAGUGACGGUACCUGAGGAAUAAGCCGUGGCUAACUACGUGCCAGCAGCCGCGUUAAUACGUGGGUGGCAAGCGUUAUCCGGCUUUACUGGGUGUAACGGGGGUGUUGGGGGGACUGCAAGGCAGAUGGUAAAAUCACGGGCUCAACCUGUGGCCGGCCUUUGACACUGGAGUUCUUGAGUACUGGGGAAGCAGACGGAAUGCGUAGUGUAGCGGUGAAAUGCGUAGAUAUUAGGAGGAACUCCAGUGGCGAAGGCGGUCUGCUGGACAGCAACUGACGCUGAGGCGCGAAAGCGUGGGGAGCGAACAGGAUUAGAUACCCCUGUAGUC